rnacentral:rRNA from 1 species
GACAGAGGUGCCGAGCGUUAGGCGGAAUCACUGGGCUUAAAGCGUGUGUAGGCGGACUUCUAAGUACCUUGUGAAAUCCCACAGCUCAACUGUGGAACUGCUCGGUAUACUGGUUGUCUUGAGCCACUUAGGGGCAACCGGAACAAUGGUGGAGCGGUGAAAUGCGUAGAUAUCAUUGGAACGCCAUGGUGAAAACAGGUUGCUGGGAGUGUGCUG